UUCCCUGUGGCUCAGUUGGUAGAGCAUGGUGUUUGCAACGCCAGCAUGGUGUGUGCAACACCAGUGUUGUGGGUUCGAUUCCCACGGGGGACC
rnacentral:tRNA from 1 species